GCAGUCGACGGUAACAGGGAGAAAGCUUGCUUUCUUUGCUGACGAGUGGCGGACGGGUGAGUAAUGCUUGGGAAUCUGGCUUAUGGAGGGGGAUAACUACGGGAAACUGUAGCUAAUACCGCGUAAUAUCUUCGGAUUAAAGGGUGGGACUUUCGGGCCACCUGCCAUAAGAUGAGCCCAAGUGGGAUUAGGUAGUUGGUGGGGUAAAGGCCUACCAAGCCGACGAUCUCUAGCUGGUCUGAGAGGAUGACCAGCCACACUGGAACUGAGACACGGUCCAGACUCCUACGGGAGGCAGCAGUGGGGAAUAUUGCACAAUGGGGGGAACCCUGAUGCAGCCAUGCCGCGUGAAUGAAGAAGGCCUUCGGGUUGUAAAGUUCUUUCGGUGAUGAGGAAGGUGUUUGUUUUAAUAGAACAAGCAAUUGACGUUAGUCACAGAAGAAGCACCGGCUAACUCCGUGCCAGCAGCCGCGGUAAUACGGAGGGUGCGAGCGUUAAUCGGAAUGACUGGGCGUAAAGGGCACGCAGGCGGUGACUUAAGUGAGAUGUGAAAGCCCCGGGCUUAACCUGGGAAUUGCAUUUCAUACUGGGUCGCUAGAGUAUUUUAGGGAGGGGUAGAAUUCCACGUGUAGCGGUGAAAUGCGUAGAGAUGUGGAGGAAUACCGAAGGCGAAGGCAGCCCCUUGGGAAUAUACUGACGCUCAUGUGCGAAAGCGUGGGGAGCAAACAGGAUU
rnacentral:rRNA from 1 species